AUUAAGCCACACUAAUAUCUUGGCUAUAGUUAUUUACACAUAAGAGAAGCAGAAUCCUGAUUGGCUGGUUCUAGAAUCCUAGCUACGCACAAGCCAUGGCCGCCGGAGCUGACGAGGCAACGCCGUCGUCGAAGUUCUGGGAGUAGCUGUGCAGGUCGUACCCGAACCUCACCGCGCUUCUUCGCCUUGGCCGCGCCGCGCUCCGGCCGAAGCUGGACCUCAGUCUCCUCAGCAGCCGCCUCACCGGCGCCGCCGUGCCACUACUGCGGCUCAUCCUCCUCCGGCCGCCGCUUCCGUACAGGCUAAGCAGAGACGCCAUCCUUGCUCUCUCUCUCUCUCUCUCUUUCUCUAUCUCACGCUGGAACAGUGCAGUUGUUCUCUUGUGAAGACUGAAGUGUGAAGACCCUGCCCCCAGCUUCAGGUUUUAUAGGCUCAUCAGGUCGGUCUUGGAGACACUCUCGCCGGCCGGUCGGUCCAGCCGGCACAAGCGUCGUUCCUCCUACCAACGGCCAGGGGCCCCGAUCACGGCGCGGCCACGUGGGUGACGAUGAUAUCCACUGGCUACGAGGCGAUCGUGGGAAAGCUGCCGGUUUUCAGGUGCCUUUUCCUGCAUCGUCAUCCUGCGCCCAAAAAAGAGGUAAUUACCAGUUUAUCACCAACCGCACAAGAUGCUUUUUCAACGGUAGCUGAAGCCGGGACUUGCAUUCAUAUGAGAAGUGAAGUGGCAGUGGCUCAUCUCUCUCUCGCCUCGCCUGUCAAGCGAAACUGGCAAUGCCUUGUCUAGGUCCAUCUAAAAACCUAAAAUUUUUCAAAAUUCUCUCUCGCAUCGAAUCUUUAGACGCAUGCAUGAAGUAUUAAAUAUAAAAAAAAUAAAAAUUAAUUACACAGUUUGGUUGAAAUUUAUGAGACGAAUUUUUUGAACCUAAUUAGUCUAUGAUUAGACAAUAAUUACCACAAACAAACGAAAGUACUACAAUGUCGUGAAAUUUUUCGCAUCAGGAACUAAACACACGGCCCAAGACCAAAGACGAACUACAGAGGGGGUCGGCGGCCUCGUGCACCCCCUUUUUGCGUAGUGCUGUGGUGGUAGGCUUGCUUUGCUGACCGAGCUAGCUAGCUACUAGGUAGAAUUAAUUCUUUUUAGAUGAUCGCAUCCGAUUACCGAAGAUGACAAGUUAAGAGCAAAAUCAACGCAGGACGAUCGUUGGUCUCACCUCAAAAGACGUACUCCACGUAGAUCCGUAUAAAUUGAGGCCGUAAAUUCUAGUAGAACGUAGAGCAUCUCAUCCUUUUUAGAUAAUGGAUAGUUUAUACCCGGCUUCAUCUAUCAAAAGAUAGAAUCAUGCCAAUUAUUACAAAGUUUGCCCGUAGGCCAGCACACAAACUAAAGAGAGCUCGCAAACCCGAACAACUGGAAGAACACAAAGGAAAAGUGCGCUAACUAAGAAGAGGCAAUAAAUCUAGUUGACAGCCAACCAUUGAAACUAAAGAAUUGCAAAGCUGACGUCUCAAGAAAUUGCCCAGCUGAAACAAGCUCAUUCCGCAUAGCUUCACACCGUUGCAAUUGUACCCAUUGUCGAAGCCAAUGGAUUCCCCUGAAGAGUAUCUUUGCCUGGAGUAGAGUCCAAGUUUUUGCGGGCUUUUAAUUUGGACGCCUUCUCAAGGGAGUCCUGACCUGAAGUCCUUGUACAUCUUUUGCUGGAUCUUAUUAGAGGCACUGUCCCACCAUUGAGCACAUUAGCCUUCCAAUGGCCAUUACCAUCUGUUGUUAAUCCACACUGGGAAAGCACAACUAUUGGUUUCUUGUUUGCUUGGACAACAGGUGGUACUGACUGUGCACCAAUUUCCUUGAUCUGAAGGGUCCCAGAGGCCGCACUCAUUUCCUUUUCGGCUGCAGCACUGUGCAUACCAGAAUCAGGUAGCUGUGCCUUCGGCACAUUAUCAUUUGUUGAUCCUUCCUUUUUACCAUCUUCAUCCAUUGGGUCCUCUUUUUUUUCCCCCUUUGGAUCAUCUUCAUCUAUGGUAGAGUCCAUAUCAAUGAUUUGAGGCUCACCAUCAGGCGUCUCAUCCUCGACACGAAAUUGUAGCUCAUAGACAUAAUCCCCAAUCACUAUAUCCACAAAAUUAGGGAUAAUAGUGGGAUCUAGCACGGCUACCUUCAUCCUUGCCCUGCCAUAUUUCUUAGUAAAUUUUGUGUCUACAGCUCGGAAAACACCUAGAAUGGAGCCAAUCGCCCAAAUGAUAGGGAAUUCCCGAAACUCCUUUGGUAGACCACGAAACUGAACCCAGACCUUGUCUAUUUCAUACUUAUUAUAUACAUCAUUCUCACCACCUUUCUCAAAACGAUUUUUUCCUUUCACUGUCUUUGUGUCCAUUGGGCCCCAGUUAACCACACAGUCCAAUAAAUUAGAGGAUGGGAAAUUAGUGACAAAAGCAUCAGUGCCUCUUUCUUCAAUUUCCCACUUGUGCUUGCCAGGUAGUAGUUUUUCAAGUUCCACUGUCAAUUGAUCAGCAGUAAGGGAACUCUCUAAAACACGUACCACGGCUGAUUUUUCCUCUAAAUUUGUUUUGGGGUUUUCAGCGACAGGAAUAAAAUAGAAGCCCAAGCCUUCAACCGCGUAACCAUAAGGAAAAGCAGUAUUAUGCAUUUUCUUCAUAUUUGGACAGACUUUAGUGACAUGAUCUCCAAAACAAAUCUCACAACACAAAGGCACAAUGCACACUGACAUUGUAUGUCCUUUAGUAUGGCAACGAUAGCAGAAUGUCUUACCCUUUUUUUGAGUCCCAUGUUGUGAAGUUUCAGGCACAUCACCUAUGAUAGUACUCGGUGGAACAGUGCUCUUUGAAUGUUCAGGUACUGCUGUCAACGUUUCCUUCGGAGUUGAUGCCGCCACUUGCAGGACAUUUCCCAUGGCAGAUGACCCGCCUGCCGUGCCAUGAGCCCAUGAGUGAACUGUCCUGCCAGCGCCAACUCCUCCUUGCGCCCUGCCUCGUUGGCGUUUGCUUGCUGCCCACCAGCGGAGUGAUUGGCAACUCCUCCCGCGGAGCCAACGUCGCUGGAUGUUGCUUCACCCACGUUGGUGGUCGCCGACGCCGUGUGUCCGCCCGCCUGGUACUGGAGCCGAUGGCCAGGGCCGUCUCUAUAAUUUUAAGGGCCCUUGUGCAAGCAAAAGAAUAAGGGCCCAUCAAAUAUUUUUUGAUAUGUCAAAUAUAUAAAAAGAAUUAAUUUGCACUAUAUGUUUUAGUUUAUAAAAGGUAAUUAUAGUACAACAAAUAAAUAAGUAGAAUAGAAUUAGAAAUUUAGAACCCUAUCACUGAAUACUAAUAACAAAAUUGGUGAAGUCUCGAUCAGCUAUGCUCUUGCUCUUCCUGCUCUAGUGUCUAGUAGUGACAUCGUGUGCAGACGUGUGGUGUUAGCGUGUCAUAGAGCCACAUCGUUCCAUUGGACGAUUGGGCAAUAGGACGAAAAGAUGAUAAAGUGGAACAUUGAUCAGCUCAACUAAUCGAUCAAGCGAGAAUAUGAAGCAACACCAACAAUAGGUGGAUGUGGAUGGCGUGUUGAUUAAUGGAUUUCAUUUUUAGAUUAAUUGAUGGAUUUCUAUAGUGUCUGUAUAAGCCUCUAAAAAAAUUAGACAAAUCUAUAUACUAAAUAUUAUAUAUUAUACAUAUAGGCCCCUUAGCUCCGUAGGCCCCCGGCCGUCGCAUCGGCUGCCCACCCCCUAGAGACGGCCCUGCCGAUGGCCAUGAGCACUUCGCCCUGUUGCGGUUUGGGGAAAGUGAUUCCCAUAGUUCUGCCAGUUGCCGUGGCCGCGCCCGCUGCCAAAUCCUCCCUGAGAACGCGCACCCCGCCUGAAGUCCUGAUUGCCUCCGUUGUAUGCGAAUCCGCCAUGGCUUGCCUGACCACGGCCACGACCGCGCAGUGGAUGGCCGCAAUUCUCUCCUCAAAUGUCGCUUUCAAAGAAAAUGCAUUUUCUCUCCUUUGUGACGAAGCUAAUAAUGCCUUUUCUGAUGAGGCUUUGGGUUGCUCUGCGAGUGCUCUGAGAGACUUCGUCGAAGCCUCUAUCCCGCUAUCUCUCUCUUCCGGAUAUAUAGCAUCCGAGUGUACGUGUGUCUCCGUAGGGAUAUUGUAUAGGCUGGUACGUACGUUGGAGUCAUCCUAAUUAAAUCCAAAAAGUACGGGACAUACUAUAUCUUAGGUGUUUGAAAUGUAGACUAUUCAGACGAAGGGCAUCAACCAUCAGAUCGGCAUCAAACUGUGCUCCUUGUGCCACCUGAACAGAACAUAGAUUUCAGACGACUGAAAUAUAGGGAAUGUGAAAAAGUAUAUAUCUCCACAACACGAGCUAAAGCUUUGAACACGGUCCCUUCUUUUUUUUUUUUACAACUGGACCUUUGAUAUCUUCCCAAAAAAAGAAAGGGGGGGAGGAGGGGCAGGGGAGGAAAGGAUACCAUCGAGCUGAGUCAGAGGAUCAGUAUGGGAUCGAGUGGAUUAGAAAGUGUAAUCUACUGUCCACAGCGAAUUUCUACAUCCUAAAGAAAGAGCAAAAGGGAAAGCACUAGUGUGAAAAGCAAAAUAUCUCUAGAUGACAUGAAGCUGCUGUUUGCAUGGGAUGGAUCGUAGUCUUCAGCCCGAUCGGAUGAUCGAUCGGCAGAUCGCAAUUACUCCUACUACAAAGGACCGGUAGUUGUUUUUGUUUUGUUUUGUUUUGGUAAUCAAGAUGGGUUGGUGGUGGUGGAGUGGCACUAUAUAUGAGAAAGUGGUAGUACAAAUCAUCCGAGUCAUCAUGGUCCAAGGAUGAGUCACCACGCUUGCUUUUGAGGUUUUGCCCUGACCAAAACCGGAUCCUAGUUUUUCUUUCCUUUGCAUUGAGAUCAGUAGCUUUUUUUGGCUGGGAAGAGUAGCUUUUUCCGAUUUUGAUGGUGCUGCUGCCUGCUAAUAAUAAAGCGGUCGUCGUUGAUCAAAUAGUCCGGGUUAGGAUGUCUUUUAUGGAAUCCUUUUGCAUUACACUACAAUAUUAGGAACUACUUUUCCAAGCAAUACACAAGAAGUGAUUUGGAACAUAGGGGAUCACUUUCUCAAAAAUUCACAUUUUUGCUGAGCAACUCGUCUUUCUACACUAUGUCUCAAUGUCUCGUGGUGGUUUUGAAGAUUCCCCUAAUAAUAAUUAUUGGAACCAUUUUAGAUAUAUAUUGCUGUCGAUUACCUAAUAAAACUUCUCUGCUAUAUUUCAUUUCCUUCCAUUUAUAUUCCCUUUUGCAUACACAUCCAGUCUAAAAUCCACUACAUCAACACCAUAGUAAUACAAGUUCGUAUUGUUCAUUAACUUGCUCAAAGGAUCAGAUCGGAGCUGGUAUGGAGUAUACGACCGGUCAGGGAGAGGGUGAUUUUUCUUUAUUUAGGAGAGAAGUUGAUGUUCUUAAUUAUAUUAGAAGAUCUCUUAAAAAUAUAUAGGAACAGGAGAUCUGAUGGAGCAGCUCUAUCUCUUGUAUUGCUAUUAUUUUUUAGCAAUGCACUCAUCUCAAUUCUCAUGCAGCUAUAGUUCUCGUCAACAAUCAAUAGCACUCCUUCAAUUAAUUUUGUUUCCCAAUUAUUAAACCGCAACAACAUCGCUGUUCGAGUGGCCCUCUCUGGCUCAAACUUCUAACGAAGAAAAAAUAACAGAUCAUUUUUUGGGUUGCCGAUUCACUUCGUAACAAUGAUUAGCAAUCAAACAUACCCUCCACAAGUUCACAACAGGUAUGCAGGCCAUCUCGAAUUCUCGAUCGAUAUAAGUCAGCGUACAGAGCAGCUAAAAUCAACAGAUUAAAGCCAUCCAUUCCAACAGCUGAUCAAAGCAAUACGCUGAUUGUUGACCUAUGGCAGGCAUAGGUAAUUACUGUCUUCUUCAUAGAUAAUUACACAGACGAAGUGACUUCUAUAUACAAUAACCGGGUGAAUCAGCUCAAUCGAUAGCUAAUCACCGGAAGUUAACACUGAACUCAAUCUCUCAGUGAGAAAGCACUAAGCCACACUAAUAUCCUGGCCACAGUUAAUCAGUUAUCAAACAGAAGAAGCAGAUCGAAUCCUGGUCCCUAGACUCCUAGAGAGUCCCAAGCUAAGCUAGCAGCUACGCACAGGCCAUGGCCGCCGGAGCUGACGAGGCAACGCCGUCGUCGAAGUUCUGGGAGUAGCUGUGCAGGUCGUACCCGAACCUCACCGCGCUUCGCCUCGGCCGCGCCGUGCUCCGCCUGAAGCUGGACCUCAGCCUCCUCAACAACCGCCUCACCGGCGCCGACGACUGCUGCCUCCGCCGACCGCCGCUGCCGUACAGGCUGAGCAGAGACGCCAUCGUUGCUCUCUCGCUUUCUCUAUUUCACGCUGUAGCUCUACAAUGCAGUUGUUCUUGUUGCUUUGUCUUGUGAAAGGCUGAAGUGUGAAGAGUGAAGACCCUGCCCCUAGCGAAACCACCCAGCUGCAGGUUUUAUAGGAUUAAUCAGGAUCAGGUCAGGUCGGCUGGGCACAUUGCUUGUAGACACGCCCGGCGGCCAGCCGGACCUGCCAGCACUAGCGUCGUUCCUGCUACCAACGGUCACGACGUGGGUGACGACGACAUCCACACUACGACGAGGCGAUCGUGGGAAUGCUCCGGGCAAAUGCCGAUUUCAGGUGCCUUUUUCCUGCGUCGUCAUUGUGCGCCCAAAAACAGGUAACUAUCACCAACCGCACGACGCCUUGUCGGCUUUUUUUCUCUCGCAAUAAAUUAAUGGAUAGUAUUUACUGCUAUGAUUUUUUAAAUCAGUGAACGACUCUUCGUCCGUAGCUCGCUGAAGCCGGUUGCAUACCUGCAUUGAUAUGGAGUGGCAGUGGCGGUUUGGAGACGCAUUCCCGAGCAUGCUCUCGCGUUUCAGCUUUGUGUGACGACUGGGGAGAGCAAAAACACCACAGAGUGCAGUGGAGUGCAGGAUCGAUCACGCUGAGCCAAGGUGUACGGUCGCAGAGCAAAAGCACGGUGGAAGGACCGUUCCGUCGACCGACCGGCAUCCUCUCUCUCGCGUCCGUCGGCUGCCAGCUGACUCUGGUCGACACGAACACGAAUACACGAUGGUGCCUCCGUGAGUGAUGAGUCAUCGGACCCAUCGGCGAUCGACACGUCUCAGGACGGCCGCUGGUGGUCGUGUAAUACAG
rnacentral:lncRNA from 1 species